CCUGGAUCUCUCCUGGGUGUGGCAUCCAACACUGGCUCUGAACACAAAAGCAACAUGUCUACGGAUAGUGGUGCAGGAGGAAGGGACAGUAGUGACAAGGUUGGAAGAGGUGUGUUCCCACGCUGCGGCAGUGAUGAUGUACACACUUUUGGCUGCCGUUGACAAGAGAGAAGGGCAGACAUGCACUGAAGCCAUACUCAUGGACAAAGCCAAGCACCAAAAAGUGAUGUAUGAGUUUUCUAACAUUUUUGCUAACCAAGAGCAAGUUGCAACCAUUUGACCAUGAGACCAUUUGCAGUACGAGACCAUCUGCCUAUGAGUUCAAGCUCUUCCAUGCACAACUCCACCAAAGUGAAGACCAAGAGGCAAAACCCAAGAAAAGUGCAAUCCUGUCAGUCAUCGAAGGCCAUUCCUUCAGAUGCAUGCCCAAGACUGUACAGUUGGAUCUACCAACACGACUGACCACUCUCUAUGUAAGCACCAGGCUUGAAAUGGCAGAAAAUAAUUACAUAUAAUACUUGGCUCUGCAUCGUAUUUCAGAGUUUACAGGAUUAUUUAAACUGCAACAGACCCAAGUAACUAAAACUGUAGGAAAAACUUUACUUUAAUAAAAAUAUUGCCUUAAGAUUUCA